rnacentral:misc_RNA from 1 species
CACAAGCGACAUGCAAAGGGUAGCUGGUUUGCUCUUCAUCGCAUCGUUUUAUUUUGGACUUUGUCCGAGAGUAUUGCUGAAGUUUAUUUUUCCCCCGGUCACCUGUGCGCGCGCGCGACGAGGCUCAUCUAUUUCCUCUCGACGUCGUCGACCCCGCUCGAUCGCCCCCUCCUCGGCGCCCCUUUCCCCUUUUUUGUUGUUCUUGUGCGCACCUGCGGGCUUCUCACAAACGGCGGUUGCACAUCUCUAGUAAAGGACGAUCUUCUGUCUCGCUCUCUCUCCCCUUCUGUGUGUCGGCUCUCCGGGUCUUGUCUGUUUUUCUCUCUCGCGUAGGUAAUUACCGUGUUGUCCUCUCUGUGUGCUCCUGCAUGGGCUUCUGUUCGCAUUAGUACCGAUACCAGCGUGCAUAACAUCCUGUUUGCUGGAGAGUGGCGCUUGAGUUUGUCGCGUCCUUCCCCCCUCACCCCUUCUUAUUUUGUGUACCUCCACUGCCCUCUUCUGUCGAGAGGCGUGCAGUGUGUUUCUCGCACGGUCAGGCUUUGUCGUAGACACUUGUGCUCACCACACUCUCUCUCUUUUUUUAUUGAGUUAUUAUUUUCGGUUGUCCAUAAGCGGACAUCGCCGCGGAAGGCAGACGCUGUGUGCGUCGACGCCUUCUGUUGCACGGAAAGACCGUGUCAUACGCUUCUCUCUAACACGCACGCUGCUUUCGCUUUAUCGAUCACGUAAGCUCGUAGAGGCACCCUCAGACUCUCGGGCAUUCUCACAGACUCGUAGUACUACUCUCACCUGCUCAGUCGGGGGGGGAACAGAUGCCGUCACUUCCCAAGAAGGUGCCGCCGCCGCCGAAGGAACCUGGCACUCACACCAAUGCCGAGGUGAAAGAGGCCCUGCACGCCCGUGCUCUGCGCCGCACCGUGCUCGUCACCGCCGUAGUCUUCCUUCUCCUGGCAUGCCUGGCUGUCGUCUCCAACACAGCCCGCAAAACUGUCGGCGAUACUAGAAAGCCGAAGAUGGUAAUGAUUGUUGCGAAGGGGCUGUCGCCCAUGUCAGUGGGCCGCGCCUUGAGGAGCAACAAGUCCCCCUUUAUGCGCCUUCUCUCCAAAGCGGGUGGGCAGUUUGCAACGAUCGCAGCCAAAAGCACGGCGAACCCGCUCGUCAACCUCCUCACUGGAUCCGCUACCAUCAGUGCCGACACGCUGGUCAACACCACGUCGAUCCUUGGCUGGCUAAAGUCGCAGGAUAAGCACACCAUUGUGGCUGCACCGUCCGCCUACUGGUCUUUGGGGGCGGCGGGCACGAGCCCGUGCCCGCAGGUGGGUCUGCUUGACACGGAGUGCUCGGGCCAAAAGUGCCCGGAAACGAAGGAAUCAGCAUACUGCAACGCCUUCCGCAAAUACAUCACAUGCGAUGAUUGCGCGCAGCUGUACAACGACGAAAUCCUGCUUGGUUUCGAGAAAAUGAUAAACCACUCCGCCGAUGCUUUGUACUUCCAGUUGAGCAAGCUCGCCGAGGCGGAGGUGAACAACCCGGAGCUGGCGGUGCAGGAACGCAGCGAGGUAAACCUGCUCGACUCCACCGUGGGCCGUAUCGCCCUGGCUCUAUCUAGGCGCACCAGUGAGGAGGCAGAGAACUGGCUCAUGAUCGUCACCAGCGACGGUGCCAACGCGGAGAUGGCGGCACCACUGCUCAUGGUGGUGUACACAAAGGGCGAGCUCGUGCAACUGAGCGACAUCGCCGAGGACGCCAAUACGGCCGAUGUAGCCAACACCAUCAAGUACUGGUUCAAGAGCAGCAAUGUAAACACGUCGCGUCUGCUGGGCAUCUGCACGGACGGUGAGAAGGUUGAAAACUGCAAGAGCACCACCUAACGCAAGCAAUAGCACACACUAAGGCAGGGCCACCGUCGCUGGUUCAAGUCUUUUCUCCGCAGGUAGCAAAAAAAAAAAGACAUACCCAAACACAUCGAUGAAGCUGCCGCUCAUUCUCCCGAAUGCAUGCCCGCGCCUGUGUGGGUGUCUGUCGGUGUGCCGUCGUCGUGCUAUUAUCUAACUUCUGGGGGGCAACGGAAGAGGUGCAUGAGAAGCCCCGGUACGAUGUUCAGGUGUGUCGACUACUGGUCCCCACUUUAGGGUCGUGGCCGGGAUGUAGAUGGAGAGCUUCAGCGGCGUUGGCAGCGGUCGUGGGUAUGCGUGGAGGUGUAUAUCCGGAAACCGAAACUCACCACAGCAAAAUGGAUGGAGAAAAAGGCGAAUCACCGCUGAAAAGGCGCGUGAACGACGGACUUCCCAAGGAGGCCAAGAUAAGGCAACGGAAGAAAACACGCAACCAUCUAUGGGGCUUGCAGACAUACAUGAUGAUCAGGGCGCACAGCAAGCAGCUACUGCAAACAUGAACAGCGUGCGUGUUACAGCGCGAGCUUUCUUUCGUUUUUCUUUUGCCGGGGUUGUGCUUGUGUGGCUGGCACGCACGGUGUGGUAGAGAUGCAGCAACGGGUGGAUAUAAUCGUCUCAUGCUCUGCAUCUCAGGCGUCAGAUCUGAGUGCGUGCCGCGGUUAUGAUGGCAUCCGAUGGUGUUUGUGUGCACGUGCGCAACGUUUGCUUCCUUUUACUCUCGCCGUACUCCCCCUUGCUGUUUGUUUGCUUUGGUUGAUACCCUGUCGCAGGGCAUGUAGGGAGGCGGGGCGGACCUCGGUGUAUGGUGCAGUGUCCGGAAACAAUUCAGCGUUAGUGCUGUGUGCUAUUUCCUCUCGUUUUGCGUGUGUGUUUUGUUUUGUUUGCGGGAGGUUUCGUUUAUCUUAGUAUUUAUGAACACGGAGCGCCCUAAUGGUGUCGUCCUGUGCGUCUUGGUGGCUUGCUGUGGCCCAACAGAUUGUUGGUGAGCACGUGAAGGCUGGUGCGCAAGUGCCUGAGCCAGUUUGUCUAUGCGUGCGUGCGCAGUGAUGGUUCUUGGUUUGGUUCGUGUGCGUUCGUUUGCUCAGCCUUGUCCGUCUGCGUGAGUGCCAGACUGCAUGAACAUCGAAGACGUAAACAAAACCAGCGAAAAGUGACGAAGGAACCACCAACCCUCCCCCCCCCCAAAAAAAAAAAAGUGGAAGGCAGUUUUGACGUCGUUACCUUUUCUGUCCCCAUCACCUCCCCCUUCGCUUCGCCUUUCUUCGUGACAGGAAAU